GUAACGGCUAUCUGGGAAGCUAAACUAACCUACAUAUAUAGGUACUUCGAAAGCUCAGCUAAAGCCGCAGUUCCCGAACUACUCCCAUUGAGGCCAGCUAGCUCGGAACUUCUACAGUUAGCGUUAGCGGCUAACAACAACAAUUCGGGGACACCUAACUAAGGCACAGACAUCCAUCUGCAGUUCUCCUGAGAUUCAACGAAAAAAAAAGGCUUUUUAUUUCUAAAAAAAAAACAAAACAAAAAAAACACAGAGAUAGUGUUAAAGCAGGGAAGCAAGCCCUUGCUGUCAAACGACAAAACCCACUGUGUUUGGCUUGUGGCCCUUUUCACCUCAAGAGCGGCCUCUUGUGUCGUCAAUGAAGGAUGUGUGCAGGCUGCCCAGAGGUGACCUCGGCUGAAAUCUAUCCUUGACAGUGAUAGGCUCAAUCCUGCUGAAGGAGCAAGGACACCAAGGAGCAGAAGUUGCUGUCACUCAAAAGAUACACAGAGUAAAUAUUUAGCAAUGUGCUGAUGCUUUCAGCCUGUGAGUCAGCGAACGAAAAAGCAAUCUGUUGUUCUGUUGCAGGACCAGGCAAGGUGGACAGGGUUACACUUCCUGAAGCAGAAACAUAACUCUGGGAGCAUUUACAUUUGCAACUAAUCUCCAGCUUCACCCUAACAUGCAGCAUUGUCCAGGACUGGUUGAAGUUCUAUAGUAAGACAUUUAUUUGUCUUUUGUUAUAGCAACUCAAGCUUUYAAUGACAAUUUUGCCUGUACAAUGAAAUGAUCACAAGUGCAUUCAAGUAUAAAAAGAAACUUUACAAGUUACUAAAAAUGUACAUGAGACUAUCAUAUGCGGCUGAAAUAUAAUUCAKCCUUCCGAUCUCGCUCGCAACACAACUCGGUUUCAAACGUGCUUCUGUCCUUUUCGCCAUGGAUUUUAAUCGUGUUUCUUCUCCACUUGUCUGACAUACACUUUUGCCUCUAAACCUUUUUCAAACAGACUCAAAUAUUUUAAUCCGUUCCACAUCAAAGAUCCUACUAAUAUGGACUAAAGAGCAAUAAGUWCUGGUGAUAGCAAAGGAAACACGAAGAAAAUAUUCUGAGAAAGUUUUCAAAGCAUUUCACCAUACUCGAUUAGACUUUACUUCACGUCUUUUCUUKUCAAUACACUCCACUUUUCUGUGCUUCCUUCUAUGAAGCAUAUCUUCACUUAUUUCAGUUUUUAAUAAAACUUAUGUACAUGUCA